AUUGAACGCUGGCGGCAGGCCUAACACAUGCAAGUCGAACGAGUGGCGGACGGGUGAGUAAUGUCUGGGAAACUGCCCGAUGGAGGGGGAUAACUACUGGAAACGGUAGCUAAUACCGCAUACCAUCGGAUGUGCCCAGAUGGGAUUAGAUUGUAGGUGAGGUAACGGCUCACCUAGGCGACGAUCCCUAGCUGGUCUGAGAGGAUGACCAGCCAAACUGGAAUGGAGACACUGUCCAGACCCCUACGGGAGGCAGCAGUGGGGAAUAUUGCAAAAUGGGCGCAAGCCUGAUGCAGCCAUGCCGCGUGUAUGAAGAAGGCCUUCGGGUUGUAAAGUACUUUCAGCGGGGAGGCGUUACCCGCAGAAGAAGCACCGGCUAACUCCGUGCCAGCAGCAGCGGUAAUAC
rnacentral:rRNA from 1 species